GUGAGCCACCCUGCAGAACUUCCUACAUGAAGUGCACAGAAGCAAAAGAACCUUCACUGGAUCACAUUCUCAAUCAGUGGUACUAUUUAUUAUUAUUAUUUUAAAUAUAGACAAUUCUCUUCAAUACUUGAAGUAUCAUUUAGUGAUGACAGCCACUACAAUGCUCCAUUUUCUUGAAACAAUGGCAGUACUUGCAAUUUAUACAACAUGCACUCUUUUAUGACGAUAACAAUUGCAAACAUUGUAAAAGCCAAAAGGUACCAAGCAGAUGCUGACACAGAGUUUUGAAAUUAAAAAGGAUAACAAAACCACCUUUGGAACUGAUUGCAGUUGUG
rnacentral:misc_RNA from 1 species